rnacentral:rRNA from 1 species
CCCUUAGAUGUCCUGGGCCGCACGCGCGCUACACUGAGUGUCUGAGAUACGAGUCUGCCUCGCCGGCGAGGUCUAGGUAAUCGCUGAAAGACACAUCAUCCUUGGGAUAGAUUAUUGCAGAUAUUAAUCUUGAACGAGGAAUUCCUAGUAAGCGCAAGUCAACAGCUUGCGUUGAUUACGUCCCUGCCCUUUGUGCACACCGCCCGUCGCUACUACUGAUUGGAUGUUUAAGCGAGGUUCUCGAACUGCUAGCGACUUAGCUUCGGUGAGGUCGCCGUGUGGGAAGUGAACCUAGCUUUGGUGUCUAGAGGAAGUAAAAGUCGUAUCA